UAAACUUCAAUGGGACAAAAGUUAGCUUCGGAAUUACUUUUUUUUAGCUAAAAUAAAAAAUACAUACACACAGAGGUACACGGAGGAAUAUGCAUAGAUUAAAUUUUAAUUGGAAGAGAAAAGCGACUUCCGGCAGCUUAUAUCGUCCGACUGUCGAUCGAAAGUUAGAUUAUUGGGGCAAAGGAAGCGAAAUCCCACGUCGUGGCUCACGUAUGUUAGAGAUUCCCGUUCGCACUUUGUGACGCAAUUGUUUUGAACCGAUUUGCCCUUCUCGACGUAUCGGCUCAACUUUCUACCCCGACGCUCCAGGCGAGAGAACGUCUCGACGCUCGUCUUCUUGCACGUCCAGUUCUCACGUAACCACGGACUAAUUAUGCUCUGCAGCAAAUAUCAAAAAUCUCGAUACAAACGAAGGUCACACGAGUAAAUUGGCGACAGGAACGCGUGUCGCUUGGGUGGGAUUGAUAUUUCUGGUUGAUCGGUAGGAGAAUUCAAGUCGAACUGCUCAGCGAGAAUUUCUUGCCGGGCUAAAUCGAAUUCACGAG